rnacentral:rRNA from 1 species
UACGGGGGGGGCAAGCGUUGUUCGGAAUUACUGGGCGUAAAGGGCGCGUAGGCGGCCUUCUAAGUCGGACGUGAAAUCCCUCGGCUUAACCGAGGAACUGCGUCCGAUACUGAAAGGCUUGAAUCCGGGAGAGGGAUGCGGAAUUCCAGGUGUAGCGGUGAAAUGCGUAGAUAUCUGGAGGAACACCGGUGGCGAAGGCGGCAUCCUGGACCGGUAUUGACGCUGAGGCGCGAAAGCUAGGGGAGCAAACGGG